GAUGAACGCUGGCGGCGUGCUUAACACAUGCAAGUCGAACGAAGCAUUUGCGACAGAUUUUUUCGGAAUGAAGUUGCUUAUGACUGAGUGGCGGACGGGUGAGUAACGCGUGGGUAACCUGCCUUGUACUGGGGGAUAGCAGCUGGAAACGGCUGGUAAUACCGCAUAAGCGCACAAUGUUGCAUGACAUGGUGUGAAAAACUCCGGUGGUAUAAGACGGACCCGCGUCUGAUUAGCUAGUUGGUGAGAUAACAGCCCACCAAGGCGACGAUCAGUAGCCGACCUGAGAGGGUGACCGGCCACAUUGGGACUGAGACACGGCCCAGACUCCUACGGGAGGCAGCAGUGGGGAAUAUUGCACAAUGGAGGAAACUCUGAUGCAGCGACGCCGCGUGAGUGAAGAAGUAAUUCGUUAUGUAAAGCUCUAUCAGCAGGGAAGAUAGUGACGGUACCUGACUAAGAAGCUCCGGCUAAAUACGUG
rnacentral:rRNA from 1 species